UGAAAAGAUUUACCAAUUUGAAAAAACAUUAGUAGUUUUAAAAAUGUAUCACAAAACAACUUAACAACAAAUAACAAUGUUUAUAGACCUUUAAUAUUCAUAAAUGGAAGCCAAAUAAAAAGUCUCUUAUGUUCAUGUAAAUAGACAAUUCCCAUUAUAGACUAAUUUUAGAACUAGGCAAAGAGAUGCAAAUCAAGGCCGGAUUUUGGUGAAAAUAGUGGGGGAGGUGGGAAAAAAAUUUAGGGGAGGUCUAGCUCGCAACCUCCAUGGAAAGUUAGGGCUUAUUGUAGAACAGGCCAAUAUCAACGUGGUGAGGUAUGCAUGUAGUGUACAUAUGUACCAGUGUAUUAAUGAAUUAUGACUGUAUGACUCCAAUUGCUACAAAGUUUCUUUCAAAACAUUGCAUUAAAAGGGUACUUGACACAGAGAUGAAUGGUUAUCACUGUUUCAAUUUUUCAGAGAAAACUUUCUUACGUCACGAAGUGUAGAUCCUAAGCAACC